rnacentral:misc_RNA from 1 species
ACUUCCCAAGCCGGAACGAAAAGUAGGUUUAGUAUCCAGGUACUGAAUUGCUUUUGGCUUUGUGGUUGUGAUGUUGUGUUUGCAAAUGGUCUGGUGUGCCAGACAU